rnacentral:rRNA from 1 species
GACGAGGGGUCCAAGCGUUGUUCGGAAUCAUUGGGCGUAAAGAGCGUGUAGGCGGCCAGGUAGGUCUGCUGUGAAAACUCGAGGCUCAACCUCGAGACGUCGGCGGAAACCAUCUGGCUAGAGUCCGGAAGAGGAGAGUGGAAUUCCUGGUGUAGCGGUGAAAUGCACAGAUAUCAGGAAGAACACCCGUGGCGAAGGCGGCUCUCUGGGACGGUACUGACGCUGAGACGCGAAAGCGUGGGGAGCGAACAGG